UACGAAGGGGGCUAGCGUUGCUCGGAAUCACUGGGCGUAAAGCGCACGUAGGCGGCCCGGUAAGUCCGCCUGUAAAAGUCAAAGGCUCAACCUUUGAAUGUCAGUGGAUACUGCCGGGCUAGAGUCCGGAAGAGGCGAGUGGAAACUCCGUGGUGUAGCGGUGGAAUGCGCAGAGUAAUCUGGAGGAACACCGGUGGCGAAGGCGGCAUCCUGGACCCGAC
rnacentral:rRNA from 1 species